rnacentral:rRNA from 1 species
UCCAGACUCCUACGGGAGGCAGCAGUGGGGGAUAUUGCACAAUGGGGGGAACCCUGAUGCAGCGACGCCGCGUGGGUGAAGGAGCGUUUCGGCGCGUAAAGCCCUAUCGGCAGGGAAGAAGGAGGACGGUACCUGACUAAGAAGCCCCGGCUAACUACGUGCCAGCAGCCGCGGUAAUACGUAGGGGGCAAGCGUUAUCCGGAUUUACUGGGUGUAAAGGGGGCGCAGACGGCAGCGCAAGCCAGGAGUGAAAGCCCGGGGCCCAACCCCGGGACUGCUCUUGGAACUGCGCGGCUGGAGUGCAGGAGGGGCAGGCGGAAUUCCUGGUGUAGCGGUGAAAUGCGUAGAUAUUAGGAGGAACACCGGCGGCGAAGGCGGCCUGCUGGACCGUAACUGACGUUGAGGCGCGAAAGCGUGGGGAGCAAACAGGAUUAGAUACCCGCGUACG